UACGUAGGGUGCAAGCGUUAUUCGGAUUCACUGGGCGUAAAGGGUGCGCAGGUGGCCGUGUGUGUCAGAUGUGAAAUCCCGGGGCUUAACUCCGGAACUGCGUCUGAAACUACACGGCUAGAGCAUUGGAGAGGGUAGUGGAAUUCACGGUGUAGCAGUGAAAUGCGUAGAUAUCGUGAGGAACACCAGAGGCGAAGGCGACUACCUGGACAAUAGCUGACACUCAGGCACGAAAGCGUGGGGAGCCAAAGGG
rnacentral:rRNA from 1 species